CACACUAUCAUUAACUGAAUCCAUAGGUUAAUGAGGCGAACCGGGGGAACUGAAACAUCUAAGUACCCCGAGGAAAAGAAAUCAACCGAGAUUCCCCCAGUAGCGGCGAGCGAACGGGGAGCAGCCCAGAGCCUGAAUCAGUAUGUGUGUUAGUGGAAGCGUCUGGAAAGGCGCGCGAUACAGGGUGACAGCCCCGUACACAAAAAUGCACAUGCUGUGAGCUCGAUGAGUAGGGCGGGACACGUGGUAUCCUGUCUGAAUAUGGGGGGACCAUCCUCCAAGGCUAAAUACUCCUGACUGACCGAUAGUGAACCAGUACCGUGAGGGAAAGGCGAAAAGAACCCCGGCGAGGGGAGUGAAAAAGAACCUGAAACCGUGUACGUACAAGCAGUGGGAGCACGCUUAGGCGUGUGACUGCGUACCUUUUGUAUAAUGGGUCAGCGACUUAUAUUCUGUAGCAAGGUUAACCGAAUAGGGGAGCCGAAGGGAAACCGAGUCUUAACUGGGCGUUAAGUUGCAGGGUAUAGACCCGAAACCCGGUGAUCUAGCCAUGGGCAGGUUGAAGGUUGGGUAACACUAACUGGAGGACCGAACCGACUAAUGUUGAAAAAUUAGCGGAUGACUUGUGGCUGGGGGUGAAAGGCCAAUCAAACCGGGAGAUAGCUGGUUCUCCCCGAAAGCUAUUUAGGUAGCGCCUCGUGAAUUCAUCUCCGGGGGUAGAGCACUGUUUCGGCAAGGGGGUCAUCCCGACUUACCAACCCGAUGCAAACUGCGAAUACCGGAGAAUGUUAUCACGGGAGACACACGGCGGGUGCUAACGUCCGUCGUGAAGAGGGAAACAACCCAGACCGCCAGCUAAGGUCCCAAAGUCAUGGUUAAGUGGGAAACGAUGUGGGAAGGCCCAGACAGCCAGGAUGUUGGCUUAGAAGCAGCCAUCAUUUAAAGAAAGCGUAAUAGCUCACUGGUCGAGUCGGCCUGCGCGGAAGAUGUAACGGGGCUAAACCAUGCACCGAAGCUGCGGCAGCGACGCUGAUGCGUUGUUGGGUAGGGGAGCGUUCUGUAAGCC
rnacentral:rRNA from 1 species